AACGUAGGGGACAAGCGUUAUCCGGAUUUACUGGGCGUAAAGCGCCCGUAGGCGGCUUGAAAAGUUGGACGUGAAAGCUCCUGGCUUAACUGGGAGAGGCCGUUCAAAACUGUCAGGCUAGAGUAUGGAAGAGGAGCGUGGAAUUCCCGGUGUAGUGGUGGAAUGCGUAGAGAUCCGGAAGAACACCGGUGGCGAAGGCGGUCGACUGGGCCAGUACUGACGCUGAUGCGCGACAGCGUGGGGAGCAAACAGG
rnacentral:rRNA from 1 species